rnacentral:misc_RNA from 1 species
UUUUCCUUCUGAUUCAGAGGACGAAGAAUUUAAGGACAGGGAUUUUGAUUUUCUUAAUGGAAUACACCCCAAUUAUUUUGAUCGGCAAACCCCAAAUCUAUCUAGAUCAGAUUCAUAUGCUUAUCAUGAUCAUAAUAAGUAUGACUAUUUCGCAAAUCAUGGUGGCCUUUUUCGUUCUCGUGAGUCUCCCUGCGGUGCGUCCUCUCCAGAAGGUGGUUCUGCAUGGAAAACCCCUUCGCCUCCUCCUCCGAGUGGCUCCACUUGGGAGUUCUUG